UUGUGGAGCUCCUUUUGAACAGCAACAUUUACUCUGCAUGGAUGGUGAAUAUCAAACAAAGUAUUCCCAUUUGCCAAGUUUGACAAUUUAUCUUCAAAUGAUGUCACAGAAGCAUCAUGAAUCACCACUCGGUAUUCAGGUAUAGCAGCUGUAUAUGGAGUAGAUGCACCAUUCAUAUCAUCUUCAUCUCUGAGUAACUGGUCUA
rnacentral:misc_RNA from 1 species